AAAGUCGUAACAAGGUUUCCGUAGGUGAACCUGCGGAAGGAUCAUUACUGAUAUGAGAAUGAUAGAAUGGUAGGGGGGAGAUGAAUUGGAAGAUUCAUGUUUCUAUGCUAUUCUUUCCACAUUUGCGCUUGAAUAGUUUGACAGAGUAACUUUUGAUACAAAUUGACAACUUUUAACAAUGGAUCUCUUGGCUCUU
rnacentral:misc_RNA from 1 species